GUUACAGGCAAAAUAAGUCAAAAAUAACAGCAGCAAUAACUGAAUUAUAAAUUUGUCACAAGUUCCCAAAAAUGCUACACUGACUCCAUAGAAUACGCCCCACUCUAAUGUGGAUCAUGAAAAAUGUAGACCACACACACACAAACAGUCAAACUGGAAAUGAACAUCAACAUCCAGUUUGUAUGAAAAUGUACAGUUCUGUGUAAAAGUCCUGUGCUAUCUGCCAUGUCUUUAUAUUUUGCUAGGAAAAUGAAAAAUGGGUGCAGCAAAUUAUUGAAAUGUGCACAAAAAUAAAGUGUAUACGCUUGUUCAUUUUUAACAACCUUUGAAGGUUAAACACAGUGUGAGCUCUCUUAGACAAGGUAAUGAUAAAUGGAACUAUAUGGUGCUUUUCUACUCUGGUUGAGCAGAAUAGAAAAGCCUUCUUCACACAAGCAUUUGUUUCUCGUGUAAAUAAAAUGCAAAAAUGUGGAGGGAAGGGACAGUGUGAUUGACAUGUGGAUAAAAUGUCUUUCUCCUCACCUCAAGCCUCAGCUCCUGAACUGAAGUCAAAGCUUUCACACAAAAAUGUGCAUAAACAAGAUGAUUUAUUGCUGAUGUUUUUGCAGGUACUUACCGUCAUUAUAUUAGACAUGCGACCAUACCAUCUCUCUCUGACAAUGAGCCAGAUAAACAACAACUGGUUAUAAGCUAAGCUCCGGCUUAUGUGUCUUAAAAAUCCCACUUUCUCUCUGAUAAACGGUUUAGUUUCUUUGUCACACCAUAUGAGAUUUUAUUCACUAAAUGCGUGACUCCAACAAUGUUAGAUCCCAUUCAAAGAACGUUUCCCUAAUGCCCGCUAACAGUAGCAAAAGCAGCAGUGCUUAUCAACAGUAAAGCUCAGCAUAUUCUCAACAACAACAUUCUCAGAAAUCCUGGAGUACUAUUGGUCAAAAUACUUAUACUGUUAUAGUACCAUAAGUGCUUCCAUGCACUGAACGCCUCAGGAGUAGAAAUAACAAAAAAACAUUUUGCACUAAAUACACUGGUCUCUCACUAGUUUUUUUCUAACUCAGACUGCUGAAGCUUCAAGUUAGUUUCUCACGUUUUCACGUCUCCUGUUACUUACUAACUUACUAACUAAAAUGCAAGCAUGUCUUUUCAGAUUUCAGAGGUAGCUUUUGUGCAAUCGACACAUAACCAGUAAUAACCAGAGAUUAUCAGUUGUGGUUCUUAAUUACCAUUACAAUGGUGGAUUUUGACAAUAAAUUCAUGAGCAUCUGCAUGAGCAACCAUAUACAAUAUCCGGCCAUACUUGUUUUCCCUGUUGUAAGUUGAACAUGCACAGAAUUUUAAAAUCCCCGAGUGUCUUGAUGGAAGAGUAUGCAAAACCAGUUUCAGAAUUCAGAUUGGCACCUACAAUUUGCUGCUAAAACUGCUAAUGAAUUAAACACCACCAUAAUCUUCUGCCACUUCAAGACUGACCAGGUAUGUACAACAAAUAAUUCCCCAAAAAUCAAAGUUCCCAUACUUGGAACAUGGUGCCAGUGAAAUAAUUUCAUACAGCUAUUUCAAUGUCCAAGUUCAGCUCUUGAAAAUAUGACAGCGAUC
ensembl:lncRNA